CAAUAGCGUAUAUUUAAGUUGUUGCAGUUAAAAAGCUCGUAGUUGGAUUUCGGAUGGGAUUUGCCGGUCCGUCGUUACGAUGUGCACUGGCCAGUCCUAUCUUGUUGUCGGGGACUAGCUCCUUGGAUUCACUUCCUGGGACUAGGAGCUGACGAGGUUACUUUGCGUAAAUUAGAGUGUUCAAAGCAAGCCUACGCUCUGAAUACAUUAGCAUGGAAUAACACGAUAGGACUCUGGCUUAUCUUGUUGGUCUGUGAGACCAGAGUAAUGAUUAAGAGGGACAGUCGGGGACAUUCGUAUUUCAUUGUCAGAGGUGAAAUUCUUGGAUUUAUGAAAGACGAACUUCUGCGAAAGCAUUUGUCAAGGAUGUUUUCAUUAA
rnacentral:rRNA from 1 species